AUAUCACGCCCAGCUUUGGAGGCCUUUUCUUGCAGAGAAGCAAGAGGAGGAUCGACGGCGGAGAAGGCGUCUUCCAUCGUUUUCCAGCGGAGAAGCAAUCAAUGACAGAGAAAGCGUUUCUGUUUUCUGGCGGAGAAGCAAUUGAUGACGGCUCGUCCUGGCCUGGCGUCACGACUGCUGGCGGAGAAGGCGUUUUCUGAUCCAUGGAGAAGCAAUUGGAGGAUCGAUGCCGGUGAAUUCGCAAAGCUCAAAGGCUCCUCCUGCUAUUUCGGUGACUCGGCCUAAUAGAUCUCCGUCUCUUGCGGUGAAUAAAGGGCAACGGAGUUGGUCAUCUACAGACAGCGGGAGUCUGACGGUGGUGGUCGGCGACGGGAGGUGGCUGCCAACGGUGGUGGUGGCAGGUGGCCGGCGGCGGGAGUCCGGCGGUGGUGGCCGGCGGCGGAAGUCCGGCAGUGGUGGCCGGCGGCAGGAUUCCGGCAGUGGUGGCCGGCGGCGAGAUAUGAUUGGCUAGAUAUGGACAUGUGGCAUAGUAUGCUUGCCUUAGAAGGAGUGGCAUUGUGUGUAAUUUUGAUAUGUUUUAAUGAUAUUUUUGUAAAAUUAGGUACCACAAUUUGGUCUUUUGCCUUAUGCUAAUUAGAUAAAAUUAUAUUACUAUCUUCCAAAUUAGUAAACUAUAUUGUGUUUUAAAACUAAAGCUCCCU